rnacentral:rRNA from 1 species
AUUGAACGCUGGCGGCAGGCCUAACACAUGCAAGUCGAGCGGAUGAAGGGAGCUUGCUCCUGGAUUCAGCGGCGGACGGGUGAGUAUGCCUAGGAAUCUGCCUGGUAGUGGGGGAUAACGUCCGGAAACGGGCGCUAAUACCGCAUACGUCCUGAGGGAGAAAGUGGGGGAUCUUCGGACCUCACGCUAUCAGAUGAGCCUAGGUCGGUUUAGCUAGUUGGUGGGGUAAAGGCCUACCAAGGCGACGAUCCGUAACUGGUCUGAGAGGAUGAUCAGUCACACUGGAACUGAGACACGGUCCAGACUCCUACGGGAGGCAGCAGUGGGGAAUAUUGGACAAUGGGCGAAAGCCUGAUCCAGCCAUGCCGCGUGUGUGAAGAAGGUCUUCGGAUUGUAAAGCACUUUAAGUUGGGAGGAAGGGCAGUAAGUUAAUACCUUGCUGUUUUGACGUUACCAACAGAAUAAGCACCGGCUAACUUCGUG